rnacentral:rRNA from 1 species
UACGGGGGGGGUAAGCGUUGUUCGGAAUUACUGGGCGUAAAGGGCUCGUAGGCGGCCAACUAAGUCAGACGUGAAAUCCCUCAGCUUAACUGGGGAACUGCGUCUGAUACUGGAUGGCUUGGAUUCGGGAGAGGAAUGCGGAAUUCCAGGUGUAGCGGUGAAAUGCGUAGAUAUCUGGAGGAACACCGGUGGCGAAGGCGGCAUUCUGGACCAACACUGACACUGAAAAGCGAAAGCCAGGGGAGCAAACGGG